GUAUGCAUAUGAUCUCGUUCCACUAUUUUUCCACACAUAUUUAUGUAUACAAGUUUGUAUCCUGGAACACAUUCUCAUAAAUGACCACAAUUUGAAAGUCUAAAGAUGAAAUCGACUACCAGGAUCUCCAUAUUUGAACUCUUUUGGUUUGUAUGUUAACAUCAAGGAAAAGUCAAGCACCUAAGUUUAGACAGUGGCGGAGCCACAGCACUGGCCCCACUGAAUUUUUAAAAAAAUACUACUAGUAUUAUGUAUGUAUUUUUUAAUUAUAAAUAAGUACUAAAGAAUAGAAAGUAAAAAAUUAUUAGUUUGUUUCUGAAAUUUGGUUUAAUUUAUUAGUUAUUUUAUAAUGUAUUUAUGAAUUGAUGAACAUGUACACAUGCUUGCAACUUGCCAAAUUAAUCAAUGCUGUUAGAUGAAUUGAUUAAAUAUCGUUAGACAAAUAGACAAAUGUUCCCAACUUCAUACUUAAAUUGAUGAAUUGAUGAUAUAUGGAUACUAAAAAUAUGUUGCUAAAUUGUGAGGAACGUUAAAAUUCAAAAUAUGUUUUAUGAAAAUAUAUUUCAAAAGGAAAUCUACUUUUGAAAAAUAAUCCAGUUAAGGUAGUUCAAUAGUUUCUAAGUGUACGUCUUCAGUCUUCACCCCUGCCCAACAUUUUUUCAGGCUCCGCCACCACUAGGUUAGACAAAGUGCCGGACAGGUAUAGCAAUUUCACCUGAGCCCCAUGGAGACGGGAUAAAAUUCAGGGAAUGGGGGCAGGGAGAUCUCCCUACCCCACCCUAUCCCUGAAAUUUAUACUAAAAUAUUAUGUAUAUAGCACCUGAUGUUCCGAUUCCUUUAUGCCAUUAGUUUAAUGCAAAACUACAAUUGAAACCAAAGCAUAUGUGAACUACAGCAUAUUCACUUUUAGUAUGAAAUGUUUGAAUAUUAUUUUGGGCAAGUGUUGAGGAUGUAUCAUGUAUGUAUGAUUCGUAACUCAGUUGUGGUAAUUCAUUAAUUAUAGGUUCCCUUAUUUCGCAUAUGAAGAUUGAAUUGCAUAAUUUAUGCAUUCUAAUGUAAAGACCUUAACUCUUCU